UACGGAGGGUGCAAGCGUUAUCCGGAUUCACUGGGUUUAAAGGGUGCGUAGGCGGGUAUGUAAGUCAGUGGUGAAAUCCCCGAGCUUAACUCGGGAACUGCCAUUGAUACUAUAUAUCUUGAAUGUUCUGGAGGUAUGCGGAAUAUGUCAUGUAGCGGUGAAAUGCUUAGAGAUGACAUAGAACACCUAUUGCGAAGGCAGCAUACUACGGAAAUAUUGACGCUGAGGCACGAAAAGUGUGGGGAUCAAACAGG
rnacentral:rRNA from 1 species